CCUCAGUGAACGCUUAAUCAGCGAGGAAGAGGCGAAGCCAGAGGGAAAAAAAUCUGUCUCCAGCAGGCGAUGUUUCGUUUGUUUUGCAUGGAGGUCAAUGAGAGAGUGGAAUUUGGUCAACAAAAAAGUCCAUGCACCUGUUUUGCUUGGUCUUUCCCCUUGAAGUCAGUCAGUGUCUUCACUGGCACGUUGUGCCACUGUCAGGAUCUCUCAGGCCCUGGUGACCACAGCCAACCAAUGGACACUCCCUGGCCUGGCAACCAGCUGUCUGUCAAGAAAAGGUAAUGAGUGUUGAGUUGACUGGCAACUUUCUCUAGUUUUUUUGUAUGUGAGCAUUUUA
rnacentral:lncRNA from 1 species